GGGGUGUGCUCAGAGCAAGGGGCCUACGCAAAUGGCUUCUCUGUUUAUAAGACACCCAGUCUGGGUUCAUUGUGACCAAUGAAAUUUGUGGCCUUCUUACAAACAUAUAGGCUACACAU